CUCUCUUGGUGACCGUCCCCUCAUUGAUGAACUGUGGGGCUAGGUGGUCUCCAGGAUGAGUAUUUAUCACCUAUAUCCCCCACCAUGGCAGCUGAAGGGUUUACACCUGUAGGAUACAUAUACGUGCCACAUGCGAUGGCCCAUAGAACGCCUUAAAAUCCUGUUUAUUCAUCCGUCCUUAUAAUGGACCCAUAUCCCUACAGAUGGCAAACCAUGGCCAGGCAGAGGCUGAUUUCUUCCCCAGGCCACAGAGCCAAGGAAGCCGAGCUCCUGCCUCCCAAGCUAGGUUUCUGCUCACGGUCAACGGGGCCACCCUUCCCCCUGGACACGUGCGGCGCUAUGGUCCUGGCCCCACCCCAGCAGCCCCAUUACUCACCAAGACGGGAAAGUAGUCCCUCAUGUACUUCCAUAUGUGCCAGUGCCUUAUGGAAUCUAAACGCCUGCCCCCCCGGCGUGGCCUGUCUCGUUCCAGGUACCACCAGAAUGUAUACAGGAUACUGAUGAACCAGAAUCUUGUGAACAGGAGUCCGACGAAGAUUGCGGUGCAGAUCUGGGCUGAGGAGGGCAGCAGGAGCUGUGAGUGGUCACAGCCCGCCUUACGCAGGAAAAAGACGGAGAAGACCCAUUGGACGGUCACAAGAGUCUGCAGCCUGCGCUCCCACGGCACGAACAAGGGUGCGAACUCCACCAUACUGGCUCUGGCUCUGGAUGCUUCUCUGAGCUCUGCUGUGUUUGGAGACACCUGCUGGCUUUUGUUGCUGGCAGAGAUUGUGUAAGUAUUUGUGGGGGUGGGAGGUGGUUGUCCAGCCCAGUCCUAAAUCCUCCAGCCCCCACGUGGCAAGGAACCCAUUCCUGCAAGAAACCUUUGAAAUGACUUGCCUGGGACCCAGCUAAGGGUGAAGGAAAUAUACGUUUCAUUCCUCAGGCAAGACCUUAUCUGCCAGAUCACCUUUGCUCAAAUUGUGCCCUUGCCUUAGCAAGAGAAGCCCCAAAUACUGUGCACUCCUGUCCUGUUCACAUUCACCCAGAGGCCUGGCUGCAGUAAUUGCCUCUUCUCUCCUGCCAUGUCCCCGAUUCUCCAUCCACAAAUAUGCGGUCACAACUCCCAACUAAAAAUCCCUUGGCCCCACCAUCUCCUCCGCCUCCCUCCCUCUCCCUAGGCUCCCCUGCACAGCAGGACUCCUGGAAGAGGCCCUGCAUUCCCCACGCCCCUCCCCGCCCCUCCCCUCCCCUUCUGGCCUCCCUCCCCCCCACUUCAGAUCCACUGCUCCCAGGAGCUGCCCUGGGCAACUUCACACCCGGCCACCGCCCUGCUGCUUCAGCCAGUGGUCCAAGCCCAGCUCUCAUCCUGACGUCUCCGCAGCCUUCGUUCGACCCCGGGGGUCACUGCCUCCUCCUUGAAACCACUUGGCCUCUGGAGCCCCCCUCUCCUGCUUCCCUCCU
rnacentral:lncRNA from 1 species